CCGAGUUCCCGCGCGCGCCUCCGCGCGGUGCUCGCGGGGCGCGGCCCGGAGUUACCGAUCCGCCUCGCUGCGUGAUGACGUCAUGCGGGGCGGGGCGUGCGCGCUCCCGGCGCUUCCGGGUUCCCCGGCCGGAGACGCGGAGCCGCGACUACUGUCCCCCUGCCAAGGGAUGCGAGCCACCCGCCCAGCCGGAUGGCACCACAAACAUCCACGGGGAAACUCCAGUGCUGGGAAUCCAAAGCAACACAAAAAGUGGGAGUAUAAACCUGGGAACAUCUUGCCUCAACACGCUGGGGCUUUCACAACCUGCUUGGCCCAUGCAUGGCGGCUCCAGCAGCUGCAGCACCACGGAAAAUCAACCCCAGCUCUCCCUGUGGCUCCGGCAAAUUGUAGCCUGGUGCAGGAGUAGGUAACAGGCUGAAGGAAAUCCCCUGUUUGGAGUGUUUGGAAGGCACAGUCUCACAUCCAGGCUGGGAGCCCAGUGGCUGCCCUUCCUCCCCCGGCUGCUCCUGGGCCCCCACGGGGCAGAAGCUGGACGGGUUCAUCGUUGGUGAUGCUUCUCUGGCCACCACCAGGUUUGUCAGCUGUGACAAAUAGGGACGAGGGUGGUGUGAUGGUCCCAUCCUCACUCCAUGCUUGUGUUCCUGCCCUGGGAAUCACAGCGCUGCUGCUUCAGGCUGGGCACAGGGAAGGAGCCAAAGUGGGACCAUGAGGGUCCUGCUGGGGCUCUGUCCUGUCCUAACCCUCGCCGAGCUGUUCCCAGGGGUUUUAUCCUCAUAGCAGCCAAUCCCCAUGCCAUGACACUGGCUUUCCUGCUCCUGGGCUGCCUCUGGGCCCAGCUUGCACUCAGCUCUGUGUGGAAAGCAGGAGCUGUGUGGGAGGAAAGUGCUGUCCCCACAGUGGUCCUUGGACCCACUGUGCCACCAGAGCCCCCACGUCCCCAGGUCGGAGGGUGACUGGCACAGCACUCGUGUUUGGAAAAUGACUGGCUCCACGUUCAGGCCUUGAGUCACCGCUCACGCUGCCAUCGUGGGCUGUUGUUUUCCAUCCCAGAGCACGGGCAGUGACCUGC
rnacentral:lncRNA from 1 species